AGCUUUGCGCAGUGGCAGUAGCAUAGCCAAUGAGGUUUAUCCGAGGCGCGAUUAUUGCUAAUUGAAAGGGCAUACUCCAUACAUGGAAAGAAACAUAUAACACAUAUUCUACUAAGAUUACUGGACUUUUAAGAAGAAA